rnacentral:lncRNA from 1 species
UGGGAAUGCCUUCAGCCUGCUCAGAAAAAUUUAUAUAGAAAUGUGAUGCUAGAGAACUAUAGAAACUUGGCCUUCCUGGGUAAGUUUAAUUUCCUUUUAAAAUUAUUAAUUACUAAUUAUUAUUUAAUUUACUUCUGUUGCAGAGUAUCUUCUGGGAACUUCUCUAUAAAAAUGAGUUUAAGAUUUAUGUUUCAAAGAAAAAGGGCAUUUUUAAUACAGAUAUUUCUCUCUCUCUCUCUCUCUCUCUCUCUCUAUAUAUAUAUAUAUAUAUAUAUAUAUAUAGAUAGAUAGAUAGAUUGAUUUAUAGAUAUGUAAUUUUACUCCUUAAUCUGUCUCUUUCUUUGUGUGUUACACAUCCUUAACUUUAGAUAAGUAGUACCUAGUAUAAUUUAGUGAUGUAAAGUAUUGUAGACUACACAUAGCAGGGGACACAGUUGAGUCAUUCAAAUGUCAAGGAGAAAACCAAACUGAAAAAUGUUGAAAGAGUAGUUAUCCAGUAGAAGAAAUUUUCAGAAGCUUAGGUUUAUUUAUUUUGAUUGUAAUCAUUGAACACAUACUGCCCUAUAUUUAUCACAUUUUCAAAUUCCUUGUUCUCUGUUUUCUUCUUUAGUGAUGUCCCAGUUUAUUCAAAUUAGCCAUCAAAACUUAAAUUUUGUUCUGAGGGCCAGCGUGAUCUGUUUCAAAUCUUCUUGUAAGGAAACUUUUAAAGAAGCAAAGAGAAGAGAGAGACACACACAGUGAAAAGGAAAAAAAAGAAAAAAAAUAACUGGCCACCCCUCUUAACAGCUGCACAUAUAAUACUCAAAAAUUCCAUACCUUCUGAUAUCAUGAAUACAUUCUAACCCAGUUUUUCUUUAAGCCCAAGUGCUAGCUAACCAAUAUUAGGAACAGUUAAUACAAAUAUAGAGCCCCUUCUCCCUAAGGACAUUACCACAGAAACUAGAUAGUGCACCUGUAGAGUUGUCUUAAUAGCUUCAUGGAGAAACUGUUCGGCAUUACAAUUUUGGGACUCAGGGUGCCAGUUACAAUCACUCCAACACGUUCCUGUCUAUUGCAAGCUCAGAAUACAUAAUACCUCCCCUCUUUUUAAAGGCCUUUUGAAUAAAUAAUAUUACUUAUCUCCGUAAUGCUGGUGGGGGCAAAAAAUAGGGCAGACAUAGACAACAGCAAGUUCCAACAUCAGUAAACAUCCACCUAUGAAUAUUUUUGACCCAGAUGAAAUUUAGUAAACAUGACAUUAGCCAAUCCAACAAGUCAAUCAUCAAUCAUCUUGUUGUACCUUUUUAAUCAUAUCUUUAAGGUAAUCUAACUCUUUUGAAAUAAAAUUACUAUUAUCACUUAAAUUGAAGGAACACAUGUAAUUAAACUUAUGAUAUCCAUUAUGAUAUAACAAUACCAGAUAAUCAAUUGCAAUCAUGAAUUUUAAGUAUGGCUUGACAAUGUUGUUUUUGUUCUUCAUUAAGCAUAUUAACAGCCAUGGAGGCAUGACUAAUACUUUUUAUGAUAGCAUAGGUGAGUUUCAUAGUAGUUUUAUAAGCCCCUAGAGCUAGUCCAGGUAAACCCACUAAGGAGAAUGUCAACCUAUUAAAUUCUGCCUUAGAGAGAAGCUUCACUGAAUCAUCACUUUUUUAUCAAGAGGAAUAGAUCUUAUAUGUAUAAAUUGCACAGGAUGGUGACCUAUUAAAUACCAUGUGGAUGGUAAGGACACAAUAUUCUGCUAAGACAACAAUGAGACAUUUUUGCAGGUAUAUAACAAUUUUAUGCAAGUGAGUCAAGAUAUUGUAAUAGGUUCUAGAAGUUCAGGAUCUGACAGUACUGAUUUUCCCAGAGCUUGUGUACAGAAACAGAGCAAAAUUGUUAUUAAGACCAAAGCAUUUACAGAGUUUUGUGUGAGUUUAUCAAUCAAAGCAGUAACAAAGUUAUCUAGAGUACAUUCUAACCCCACUUUAGCCAACACCUGUUGUGCUGAGGCUGUUAAUGGUUUUAUAUCCCCUGCCCAGUAACUAGAAUUAACUAGAAUUCAUGUAUCUUGGGGUCCUAUUUUAAUGAUUCUCCUCUUUUGAGAAUAAUGAUUAUUCUCUUGUUUGGAUGAACUCUUAUCUUCCAGGGUUAAAUGAAACUUAGAAAUCAGCUUGUGAAGUCCCUGAUGUACAUUUAUAAUUGCGAUUUUUCAUGCAUGAAGGUAGAGUCCAAACAGGACAUGUUGGCAUAAGAGUAGCAGUUUAUGCUUUUCCCCACAUGAUCAAAGGCAUAGUAUCUUGUCAUGCUGGUCAGAUGGAACAUCAUAUAUUACAUAAUUUUUUUAGUAAUGGCUGUUUGAGAAUAAAAUGUCUAUUCAAUGCAGAUGACCAAUUUUGUGUAUUAACUUUAUGUUGUAUAUUGAACACAUUACCUGUAAAUAAAACAAUAUUUAAUGCAUAUAAAUAUAAGAGAGGCUAGAUCUUUCUUUGUUUCUGUUUUAAAAGGAACAUAUUAGGAUACAAUUUGCUCACUCAACAAAAGCUCGUCCAAAAGAAUUAUGAGAAAUUUCAUGAUUUAAAAGUAUAUCUCAUUGAUUAAAAUUGUGCAAAAGGAUGAGAUGCAAAGGCAGGAGCAUUAUCCAUCUCUAAACAAAUAGGGCCUCUAGGAGCAGAUCAUGUUUGGUUUCUUUCCAUGCUGUCUGCUGGAACUGACUUGACAUUUUCUUUUUUUAGAUUCGAUUCUGUUAGUAUUUUUUUCUUUUGUUUUGUGUUUUCAAAUAAUGCAUUAGUAAUCAUAAAUAUUUUGAAGUGAAUGAAUCAUUAUAAUUUUAUUUUGUGAUUUUUAAAUAUUUUUUAUAUAUUUUUUAAUUUUGAUUAGUGAUUUAAUUUCUGGAUCAUUGUUUUUUUUUAUUGUGGUAUGCUUGGCUUCUUUUCACACUUCCUAUAUAUAUAUGAAAUGUGAAAAUAUAUAUGGAGUCUUUGACUAUAAUAUUAACCCUACACAAAACACAGUAUAUAUACAUAUAUAACACUUCUCUUUAUAUAACCUAUAGAUUUUUAAUUUUUACAGUAUUGUACAAGUUGCUUAGACUUUUCUUAAACUUGGUAGUGCUUGAUAAGCCUCUCCCAUAUUGGUAGAAUUUCAGAUUUGCACACUAGUAAUGCCCCUCUCAUUUUUUCUUAAAGAAUUAUUCACAUAAACAUUGUGCUCAUUGAUGUUAAUAUUUUGCAAUUUCACUCCCUAAACUUUUUUUGAAUACUGAUUUAGUGUUCUUUGAGUAAUUCAUAACUGUCAGUAUCCUUAUGUUAAAUUCUUAAUGUUUUUUUUUUCUUUUUUAUCACUUGGAUUUAGCCAUGCUUAUCUUUGUUUAUAUUUGCUGUACUAUUUUUUAUUUGUUCAUUAAAGGAGCCAUCAGUAGAUUAUAUAGUCCAUUUUUGGGAAAAAAGUAUAAAAACAUUUAAAUAAAUAAAAAUAGGCAAGAACAGUGCUGCAUCCUUGUAAUAUUUGCUAAUUGGGAGGCCAUGAAAAAGUACUUCAUUUGAGAGAAGUCACAGAAAUUUAGAAACGACAUGGCUCUAAUCAUUUUAAAAAAAACUUGUGUUGUAGUUUGUGAUAUAGAAUUUUUUGGGGUAAUCUCAAGCAUUACACAUGAAACAUUAAAAGUUGGAUGACCUAAAGAUCCAGAAUUGCCAGUACUAAAUAUGUAUCCAUGAACAAUUAAAUCAGAAAAUUGUAGAGAUACCUCUGCUUUUGUGUUUAGUGCAAACAUUUUUCUCAGUAUUAAAGCUAGGGUCUAAAUGUGUGUGCCCAUCAAUGUCAAAUGUGUAAAAAUAUGUACAUAUAUACUAUUAUUAUUUAGUUAUAAAAUAUUUUUUCUCUUAAAGUGUUAUAAGAAAUAUAUGCAGGACUUUGAAUUAAGUGAAAGGUGGCAGGCAGAUAUUAAGUUGUAGGAGCAUUUGAUUCACAUGUGGAACUCAGAAAUUAAGUGAGCAAAAUUUUGCUCACCAGGUACUGUGUUUUGUGUAGGGUUGAUAUUAUAGUGAAAGUCUCCAUAUUUUUAUUUAUUGAGCAUAAUAGGGUCAAGAGUUUUAUUUUACCACAUAGUGAGUGUAUUAUGUUCUUCAUAAAUACUAGUUGAAGGGAUAUAAUACCUUGUAAGAACAAAAUUGAUAAUUAUAUGAAAUAAUGAUUGUGUUAAUUCAUUCUAUUUAGUAAUUUUACCUUGUAUAUAUAGUAUAAAAUACCAUGAUAUAUUUAUAGAUAAACAAAGUUGUAUUUGUCAAUAAAGGAAAUUCUCAUAUCACAUGAAUGUAAAAAUAUAAAAAUCAAUUUAAUAUACUUGACUGUCAUGUGUUGAAUUCAUCCAAGUAUUAUGGCCAUAGGCUAUGCAAGGUUUUUAUAGUCUUUUAAAAAAUGUUUUUAUGAUAAAUUUUAUAGACAUAUAUGUGUAUAUUUCUUAGUAAAUUUUUUGUUCAUAUUUCUUUUUAAGAGUCCAUUGCCUCUUUACACUUCUUGAAUAUUUAUGGUAUUAUCACUCAAAAUCUACUAGUUAUUUUCAUGUAUCUAUGUCAUGGUAGACAAAAAACAUUUUUAGACAUUCUUUAAAAAGCCAGAAAUGUUUGUAUAUGUUUUACAUUUCUCUUGUUCUACUGACAGUGAAGGUAGCUGGUAAAUAUUUCCUAAAUACACAAUACUAUCUUAUUAAGGAAAAAAGGCUGUUAAUGAUACUUUUCUACACUUUAUUAUAUUACUCUUCUUUAUGAUGUACUCCUCUUGGAUACUGUGGUCUCUACAAGAAUUUUGGUAAUAUUCUCAAUGUAAUUUUGUCUGUACAUUUUUUAUUCAACUAAUAUAUAUUUUGGAUUUAUGGUGACUUUGGACUUACUAAUAUGCUACACUCCUGAUGUACUUAUUUUACCUUAAUUUUAUGUUAUGUAUGCAAAAUAUAUUUAUCCCAGUCUAAUCGGUACUGUUUUUAUUUUUGUUUAUUUCAGCCAUGACUCCUAAUCAUACCCAAGUAUAUUCACCAGAAAAGGGCCUAAAACAUAUAUUUCAUAAAGUGAUAAGUGCAAAAUAUAGAAGUUGUGAUCUUGAAUAUUUACCAAAAAAGAAAAUAGGGAAAACUCCAAGUGAGAGUGAACACCAGAAAUCAUAUAAAAAAUCAGGCCUUGUUCUCCACCAGAGAAUUUAUACUGGAGAGAAGCCCUACAAAUAUAAAGAAUGUGGCAAAGCUUUUAGUAAAAAAAGAGGUCUUAUUUACCACAGAGGAAACCACGAUGGAGAAAAGCCCUACAAAUGUAAAGUAUGUACCAAAGCUUUUGGUCAAAAAUCACACCUUAUUUGCCACAGGAGAACUCAUACUGGAGAGAAGCCCCACAAAUGUACAGAAUGUGGCAAAGCUUUCCGUCAGAAAUCAGACCUUAUUUGCCACAGGAGAACUCACACUGGAGAGAAGCCAUACAAAUGUAAAGAAUGUGGCAAAGCUUUUGGUCGAAAAUCACACCUUAUUCGCCACAGUAGAACUCACACUGGAGAGAAGCCCUACACAUGUAAAGAUUGUGGCAAAGCUUUUGGUCAAAAAUCAAACCUUAUAUGCCACAGGAGAACUCACACUGGAGAGAAGCCCUACAAAUGUAAAGAUUGUGGCAAAGCUUUUGGUCAAAACUCAGACCUUAUUUGCCACAGGAGAACUCACACUGGAGAGAAGCCCUACAAAUGUCAAGACUGUGGCAAAGCUUUUGGUCGAAAAUCAGUCCUAAUUUACCACAGCAGAUCUCACACUGGAGAGAAGCCCUACAAAUGUAAAGACUGUAGUAAAGCUUUUGGUCAAAAAUCAGACCUUAUUUGCCACAGAAGAACUCACACUGGAGAGAAGCCGUACAAAUGUAAAGAUUGUGGCAAAGCUUUUGGUCAAAAAUCACACCUUAUUUGCCACAGAAGAACUCACACUGGAGAGAAGCCAUACAAAUGUACAGAAUGUGGCAAAGCUUUUGGUCAAAUAUCAAGCCUUAUUCACCACACCAAAACUCACACUGAAGAGAAGCCCUACAAAUGUAGAGAAUGUGGAAAAGCUUUUGGUCAAAAAAUAGACCUUAUUCAUCACAGCAGAACUCACUGGAGAGAAGUCCUACAAAUGUAAAGAAUGUGGGGCUGGGGUUCUGGUUCAGUUGUAGAGUGCUAGCCUCGCAUAUGUGAGAUCCUGGCUUUGAUCCUCAGCACCACAUUAAAAUAAAUAAGUGAAAUAAUGGUAUUGUGUCCAUCUAAAACUAAAAAAUAAACAUAAAAAAGAGAGUAAACCUUAUUAACAACAGAAUUUAUACAGAAAAGAACCUCUACAAAUUGAAAAAAAUGCAGCAAAGCUUUUAAUAAGAAAUCAAUUAUUUUCACCACUAGGCUACUUAUUCUGGAAAGAAGACAUAUAAAUGUAGAGAAUGUAGAAACAUUUUAAAUUAUAUAUCAUAUAUUACAAGACAUCAGAGAAAACACAUUGGAGAGAAGCUAUAAAAAUGAGACCAUUGUACCAUGACUCUAAGAAAGGGACAACAUUUAAUCCUCAUCACAAUAACCAUAGCGUAGAGAAUGUUUUGAAAUGUGAAAAUUGACAAUGUGACAAUGCCUCCAAAAUUUAUUCACCAAUACUCAGAACCUGUGCAUACGUACUGGUUAGGGAAGAUACAAAUGGAAAAAAAAUAUAGCUACAUGUUUCUUAAACACUGCUUAUUUUUGGAAAAUUCAUUGUGCCCAGAAACCCUAAAAAGUUAAAUAAUAUAUCCAAAAUGUAUUUAAAUUUUAAAUUCAUUGAACAUCUGAAAACUUAUACUAGUAGUGAACAUUGAACAGAUUUUGUCCAAAAUAUAUGCCUUAUAUAACAGUGUAACAUUUAUAAUAAAUGUGAGAGUAUAGUAAAGUUAUUAUCUAUAUAUUACACAUUGAUGUAUAUGAGGAUCAGUAAAAUACAGAACUCAUUUAAGUUUAGAAAACAAGUAGUUGUCUUUAGCUUUUGCUUAAAUUUAUUAAGCAUUAUCAAGUUAUUUUGUAGAAAUAACAGUCAUAAAUAUCAUACAUGCAUAGUGAAGAAACGUCCUCUUUGAAAGAAUAUAAUUAUUUUUCUAAAUCAAAAAUUACUAUUUUCACUUUUGAAUACUGAGAAAAGAAUUAUAUGAAAUCUAUUUUUUAUGUUUAACACUCAAGUGUAAUAUUAUAAACUUUAAUUUUUUGUUGUAUUUCAGUUUACGUUUAGGUAUUUUUAUACACUGAGCCACAUUCUUAAGCCCUCUCUCCACUUUUUCAAAUUUUGAGACUGUAUUGCUAAGUUGCUUGAAACCACACUAAGUUGCUGAGGCUGAAUUUAAACAUCUGAAACUACUCAGCUUCCCAAUUUGCUUGGAUUACAAGCAUGGACCAUCAUGCCAGGUUUACAGUGCAUCUUUUUUACCUAUAUUUACCUUAUGUAUGUAAUAUGUCUUUAUAACUGAAUAUUUGUUUAUGUUAACACUCAUGUAUUGCAUACUGUUGUUAAAUGACAGAUAAAAUAGUGUUCCACUUGACUAAAUUUUCUAUGUAAUAGUAAAACAUACUGUUGAGUAAAUAAUACUC